UUACUGGAUUGAUAAGAUGCA
ensembl:piRNA 21ur-14559 ncRNA